CUCCAUCUCUAUUCCUCCCCCAUUUUCAAUGUUUCCUGGUUUUUUGUUUAUUUGUUUUGGUUUUUCAAAUCAAUAUGUAAGAUGUUGCAAGGUCUCUUAAACAUAAUUCCUUAAGCAGUUGUUUGGUGUUCUUGUUCUUUUGCAGCAUUCAUUUUUUUGAUUCUUUGACGUCUAAUGGAUCAGAGGAACAUAGGCAUGGAACUGCAGACCCUGGAAUGAGCCGCAUCAGGAAUGACAGUAAUGGUGCAGCAUGAAUUGAAGUGGCAGGCAAAAAACUCAGGUUCCCUAGAGGAAGCUAGCCAUGUUGAUCAUUUGAUACUGCUGAAACAAAGAACGAACUUGAGCCUGGCUUAGUGGAUCCUGUUUCCUGGCAUCUGUAGCUACUGAUCCAGAGGUGUGUGUCUGGAUUCGUAUAGAUCACAUUCAGAGAGGUCCUUGCCUUCACCCAAGAGCCCUCAUCCAGUGGCUAAUGGGAACAAAGGCAGACAUCCACAGAUACACACUGAACUGACCUCUGGAACUUAGUUGCAGAGAGGGAGGAAUGAAGAUCGAAGGGGUCAGUACCAGGUUGCAGAAAUCCACAGAAACAGCUGGCCUGAACAAUGGGGAACACAUCGACCCCAGAUGCUGUCUGGGAGGCCAGUACAGGACUGAUCCAGACCCCUGAACAUGGAUGUCAAUGAGGAGGUCUCUGUACUCCAAGAGGCCCCUGGUAGUGGAUUAGUAUUUUUCCCUGGUGUAAGGGACUUUGAGAGCCCAUCCCACGUGAAGGGAUGCACUCUUGCCCUGGACACAUGGGGAAGGGCCUAGGCCCAGCCCAGGAUGAUGUGGUGGACUUUGCGGAGCCCCUGUUGAGGGCCCUACCCUGCC
rnacentral:lncRNA from 1 species